GACUUCACUUAACCUUGACAGUGACAAAGAAACUUCUUCAAGGAAAAAUAACUUUGAAAGGAAAAAAAAAAGGAUUUGAAUAAUCAUUCAGAUCUUAACCAUUCUUCCAACAGGAAAUAUGAGCAUAUUAAUGGUACCAGAAAAAUGUGUCAAAAGAGGCUCAACUGGAAAAAGGUUGAUCUUCAAGAGCUUCAAUCUGACCGUGUUCCUCUUUGUCCCCUUGACAUCUUCCAAUGUCUUCCACUACCCUGAAAUAAAAGGAAACCUUCUGGCCUUGAA